rnacentral:rRNA from 1 species
CGCGACCCCAUGUCAGGCGGGACUACCCGCUGAGUUUAAGCAUAUCAAUAAGCGGAGGAAAAGAAACUUAC